AGCAGUCCUUUUUUAAAAAUUACUAUUUGGCUAAGUAUCUAAUACAGUUUGCAUAAUGGGUGAAAAAAUGGUAAAUAGUGAACACCUGUACUAAAUGAUCUCCUUUUGCUAUUAGUAGUGAAUAAUUGUAAAAUGAUGUGAAGAAAAUUAACUGCUUUCAUAUUUUUUUUUUCAUAUUUUUUUUCAUAUUUUUUUCAAUAUUUUUUUCGCUUUCAGAAAAGAAAAAGGUAGCUGU